GAUGAACGCUGGCGGCGUGCCUAAUACAUGCAAGUCGAGCGAACAGACGAGGAGCUUGCUCCUUUGACGUUAGCGGCGGACGGGUGAGUAACACGUGGAUAACCUACCUAUAAGACUGGGAUAACUUCGGGAAACCGGAGCUAAUACCGGAUAACAUGUUGAACCGCAUGGUUCAACAGUGAAAGACGGUCUUGCUGUCACUUAUAGAUGGAUCCGCGCCGCAUUAGCUAGUUGGUAAGGUAACGGCUUACCAAGGCAACGAUGCGUAGCCGACCUGAGAGGGUGAUCGGCCACACUGGAACUGAGACACGGUCCAGACUCCUACGGGAGGCAGCAGUAGGGAAUAUUGCGCAAUGGGCGCAAGCCUGACGGAGCAACGCCGCGUGAGUGAAGAAGGUCUUCGGAUCGUAAAACUCUGUUAUUAGGGAAGAACAAAUGUGUAAGUAAAUAUGCACGUCUUGACGGUACCUAAUCAGAAAGCCACGGCUAACUACGUG
rnacentral:rRNA from 1 species